GGGUUAGUAGAUUGGUCAUGCCUCUGGUAUGUACUGGUCUCACGGAUUCCUCCUUCCUGAUGAACCUUAAUGCCAUUAAUUUGAUGUCGUGGAGAAUCAGGACUGUUACUUUGAAAAAAUUAGAGUGUUUAAAGCAGGCUCACGCUUGAAUACAUUAGCAUGGAAUAAUGAAAUAGGACGAUCGAUCCUAUUUUGUUGGUUUCUAGGAUUGACGUA
rnacentral:rRNA from 1 species